rnacentral:rRNA from 1 species
GAUGAACGCUGGCGGCGUGCCUAAUACAUGCGAGUCGAGCGAACGGACGAGAAGCUUGCUUCUCUGAUGUUAGCGGCGGACGGGUGAGUAACACGUGGAUAACCUACCUAUAAGACUGGGAUAACUUCGGGAAACCGGAGCUAAUACCGGAUAAUAUUUUGAACCGCAUGGUUCAAAAGUGAAAGACGGUCUUGCUGUCACUUAUAGAUGGAUCCGCGCUGCUUUAGCUAGUUGGUAAGGUAACGGCUUACCAAGGCAACGAUGCAUAGCCGACCUGAGAGGGUGAUCGGCCACACUGGAACUGAGACACGGUCCAGACUCCUACGGGAGGCAGCAGUAGGGAAUCUUCCGCAAUGGGCGAAAGCCUGACGGAGCAACGCCACGUGAGUGAUGAAGGUCUUCGGAUCGUAAAACUCUGUUAUUAGGGAAGAACAUAUGUGUAAGUAACUGUGCACAUCUUGACGGUACCUAAUCAGAAAGCCACGGCUAACUACGUG